rnacentral:sRNA from 2 species
UCGCGUCAUGCGCCGUAGGCAGGAGCGGGGGACCCAAGGUAAGCGCCGCGCCGGGCAGUUGAGCCGGCACGGCUCGGGGUGAAGCCAUGCCUCCCACAGAGGCGUGGCCGGGCAACUCAACCGGCCCGAACCCGACAGCUCACCUCGCAGGCGUCGGUGAGGGGAUCC